GACGAACGCUGGCGGCGUGCUUAACACAUGCAAGUCGAACGGAAAGGCCCUGCUUUUGUGGGGUUCUCGAGUGGCGAACGGGUGAGUAACACGUGAGUAUCCUGCCCUUGUCUUUCGGAUAACUUCACGAAACUGGGGCUAAUACCGGAUAGGAGCUCCUGCUGCACGGUGGGGGUUGGAAAGUUUCGGCGGUUGGGGAUGGACUCGCGGCUUAUCAGCUUGUUGGUGGGGUAGUGGCUUACCAAGGCUUUGACGGGUAGGCGGCCUGAGAGAGUGACCGGGCACAUUAGGACUGAGAUACGGCCCAGACUGCUACGGGAGGCAGCAGUGGGGAAUAUUGCACAAUGGGCGGAAGCCUGAGGCAGCAGCGCCGCGUGCGGGAUGACGGGCUUCGGGGUGUAAACCGCUUUCGCCUGUGACGAAGCGUGAGUGACGGUAAUGGGUAAAGAAGCACCGGCUAACUACGUG
rnacentral:rRNA from 1 species